CAGUCAUCAUAUGUAGCAGAUAAGCGGGAAUUGCACCAUUAGUAAAAUAUAUAUAUAUAUACUUUACGAAAUUUUCAAACAUGGGUGAUUGUCAGGAGGAGAAGGGUUGGAAAGAUGAUUAUUGCGGGCAGGAUGACAGAAUAGAGUUGGACGAACCAACUCAGUCCUCCCCAUCUGGUUGCGCAUGUUCCAGGACAGAAAGGGGCAUUGGAAAACCAGGCGAUGGUUGGCUUAAAUUUUUGAUUGAUUGGAUGAGUGAUGGAAGAAAGAAAUAAAGAUGGAGAUUCUUGGCCAAAGAUCUGGACUCAGCUUUGCUAUCCGUCUUUCCUGCUUCUGAUCUACAUUGUAUAGAGUUAUCAUCUGUCGUCCCAACCAAACCAAAGUAUUCAAAGUGGAAUCAUCAUGUCGUGGUAAAUCUAAGAGGCCUUGUCAGUCACGCGUUUUGUAUUAUCUCACUCGAACUGGGAAGAAGUUUUCUUCUUCUUUUAUUUAAGGAAAUAUCAGCUUUAGACAAGGGGACAUCAGUGGAGUGGUGGAGGGGGGGGGGUGCUUGGCGCUCUCCAUUAUUCACCGUUUCCACCCUCUAUAAAUAAAAGUCUCUAUCCUUUCGUUUACCGUUUCUUUAGGAUAUAUAGAAAUGUAAUUUCCAUCAACUUGUUUUUUUUUUCUUUCUUUUUCAAUUGAUUUUUAUUUGAUUGAAAUCGCCGUUUUGCUGUCUUUACUACUUAUUGUAUAAUACUUUCCUUGAAAAUUCCGUUGAUUCCGUGAACUACUCAAAACCAUCAGAAUUGUCUAAUUUCAUUAUUUCGAUAUUGGUGACUAUAGGCUAUAGUCGGCAGCCAAAUGGCGUAUUUGGUGCCGCAUAUACGGUACUAAAGACUAAUGCAAUGCAGGUAAUUUUGAAAAAAAAAUAACUUGACUUUUCUUUUUUUUUAAUGAUCUGUAAUACAUAUAAUAGUAAAGGGAAUUUUUUGGAUAAGCAGUAUGUAUACAUGAUGAUGUCACGAGUAUCUCUUUCAAACGUUUGAAUUUCAUCAUUCGAUACUAUUUUAACAGCGAAACCCACAGUCAGAUAUGAGAACAUCCACACAAUAUUGGCAACUCCCUCCGUUCAGUCAAUUUAUCUUAAAGUUUGUUAUGAAAUGUCACUGAAUUGUAUGUAUUAUUUUGAACAUGUACUUCUACUGAUACUUAAUUAUUUUGUUGAACGGAAAUAAAGAAAUCUAAA